rnacentral:rRNA from 1 species
GCUUAGGUUAAUAAUUAAGUUAUGGGUCAUUUCUUACCUUUUGCAUCAUGAUUAGCAGAUAUUAUUUAUUUAUUAUAUUUUCUGAAGUAGUGUGAUAUUGUAACUGUUAGAUUUGCUCUUUUGUUAUAACGAGUGGUUGUACAAAAAACAGAUUACAAGAUAAUUAGAAAUAAGUCAGACGCUAUAAUAACCGGUUAAAAAGUUAGUAUUUUCUUAGUAUAUUUUUGGUUAUGAGAUCAAGAGUAGGGCAAUAAUGUAUAGUAAAAUUUUAUGUACAGUAGGGUGAAAAGUUUCCUUUUGUCAGAAUUGUGUUAUAACAUUAUUUUAUUUUAUUAGAAUUUUGUAUUAAUACUUUUUAUUAGUAAAUAAUUUUAAAGAAUUUUAUUGUUAAAUUAGUAAUAUUAAUAUUUAAGUUUUUUUUUGUUAUUAUUCUGACUGUUUAUCAAAAACAUUUCCUCUUUUUUUUYAUAAGAGGUAAUACCUGCUCAGUGUUUGUAUAAAUAGCCGCAUUAGCCUGAKUGUGCWAAGGUAGCAUAAUWACUAGCUCUUUAAUUGGGAGAUUGUUUGAAUGGUUUAACACGGGUAAUUAAUAGAAUUUAAAUGUUAUUGAAAUUAUUUUAAUGGUACAGAAACCAUUAAUAGUGUUUGGGACGGGAAGACCCUAGGAGGUUUACAAUAUUUUGUUUAUUUGGGGCAAAGAUUUUUUAUAUAAUAGUUUUAAGAUCCUAUUUAGGAAUUAGAUGUAAGCUACCCUAGGGAUAACAGAGUAAGAAAUAAGGAGAGAUCAUAUCGAUUUAUUUAAUUGCUACCUCGAUGUUGACUUAAGAGAUAGUUUUUAGGCGCAGAAGUUUUAAAAACAGGUCUGUUCGACCUUUAAAUUCUUUCAUGAGUUGAGUUAAGACCGACGCAAGYCAGGUUGGUUCYUAUCUAAAUUUGUGCUUUACUAGUACGAAAGGAUUGUAAAGCUUUUAUUUU